rfam:Gorilla gorilla gorilla genomic chromosome, chr7, whole genome shotgun sequence
AGAGAAGCAAAGUGAUGAGUAAUACUGGCUGGAGCCCCAAAGAGGCACAUGUGUGUGUGUUUGUGUGUGUGUGUAUAUGCUUGUCAGUGCAUGCACGUGUGUGUCUGGGAGUACAAAUGUGUGCGACUGGUUGUAGGGAACUAGCUAUGUGCCUUCUAUUAGGCCAUGACAGUCAAACUGAUAAGAUCUGAUUGCUUC